rnacentral:rRNA from 1 species
GCGGAUACGAGAGAUCGUAUCCUUCAGUUCGGCUGGAUCGGAGACAGGUGCUGCAUGGCUGUCGUCAGCUCGUGUCGUGAGAUGUUGGGUUAAGUCCCGCAACGAGCGCAACCCUCGCCCUUAGUUGCCAGCAUUCAGUUGGGCACUCUAAGGGGACUGCCGGUGAUAAGCCGAGAGGAAGGUGGGGAUGACGUCAAGUCCUCAUGGCCCUUACGGGCUGGGCUACACACGUGCUACAAUGGUGGUGACAGUGGGCAGCGAGACCGCGAGGUCGAGCUAAUCUCCAAAAGCCAUCUCAGUUCGGAUUGCACUCUGCAACUCGAGUGCAUGAAGUUGGAAUCGCUAGUAAUCGCAGAUCAGCAUG